rnacentral:rRNA from 1 species
CGACCGGCGCACGGGUGAGUAACGCGUAUCCAACCUGCCCACCACUUGGGGAUAACCUUGCGAAAGUAAGACUAAUACCCAAUGACGUCUCUAGAAGACAUCUGAAAGAGAUUAAAGAUUUAUCGGUGAUGGAUGGGGAUGCGUCUGAUUAGCUUGUUGGCGGGGUAACGGCCCACCAAGGCAACGAUCAGUAGGGGUUCUGAGAGGAAGGUCCCCCACAUUGGAACUGAGACACGGUCCAAACUCCUACGGGAGGCAGCAGUGAGGAAUAUUGGUCAAUGGACGAGAGUCUGAACCAGCCAAGUAGCGUGCAGGAUGACGGCCCUAUGGGUUGUAAACUGCUUUUAUAAGGGAAUAAAGUGAGUCUCGUGAGACUUUUUGCAUGUACCUUAUGAAUAAGGACCGGCUAAUUCCGUGCCAGCAGCCGCGGUAAUACGGAAGGUCCGGGCGUUAUCCGGAUUUAUUGGGUUUAAAGGGAGCGUAGGCCGGAGAUUAAGCGUGUUGUGAAAUGUAGACGCUCAACGUCUGCACUGCAGCGCGAACUGGUUUCCUUGAGUACGCACAAAGUGGGCGGAAUUCGUGGUGUAGCGGUGAAAUGCUUAGAUAUCACGAAGAACUCCGAUUGCGAAGGCAGCUCACUGGAGCGCAACUGACGCUGAAGCUCGAAAGUGCGGGUAUCGAACAGGAUUAGAUACCCUGGGUAGUCCGCACGGUAAACGAUGGAUGCCCGCUGUUGGUCUGAAUAGGUCAGCGGCCAAGCGAAAGCAAUAAGCAUCCCACCU